CCUACGGGAGGCAGCAGUAACGAAUCUUCCGCAAUGCACGAAAGUGUGACGGGGCAAUGCCGCGUGUGGGAUGAAGCCCUUCGGGGUGUAAACCACUGUCAGGGUCCACCAACAACAUGAGGAGACCCAAAGGAAGAGCCGGCUAACUCUGUGCCAGCAGCCGCGGUAAUACAGAGGGCUCGAGCGUUAAUCGGAAUCACUGGGCUUAAAGCGUGCGUAGGCGGAUUUGAAGGCGCUUUGUGAAAUCCCUCGGCUCAACCGAGGAACUGCUUGGCGAACCACAAAUCUUGAGGCUGGUAGAGGUGGUCGGAACGAUAGGUGGAGCGGUGAAAUGCGUAGAUAUCUAUCGGAACACCGAAGGUGAAGACAGGCCACUGGGCCAGUCCUGACGCUGAGGCACGAAAGCGUGGGUAGCAAACGGGAUUAGAUACCCCGGUAGUCCACGCCGUAAACGAUGCGCACUUGGUCGAGGGAGUUGAACGCUCUCUCGGUCGUAGGAAAACUGAUUAGUGCGCCGCCUGGGGAGUACGGUCGCAAGAUUAAAACUCAAAUGAAUUGACGGNUGAGAGUGCGAGGCGACGACGAGGGAGGAGG
rnacentral:rRNA from 1 species